rnacentral:tRNA from 1 species
CUAAAAAUAAUAAGAAAUUAUUCUAUAUUA